AAGAUAAGUGUGGGAGGUCCCUA
rnacentral:siRNA from 1 species